AUUGAACGCUGGCGGCAGGCCUAACACAUGCAAGUCGAGCGGAUGAAGGGAGCUUUCUCCUGGCUUCCGCGGCGGACGGGUGAGUAAUGCCUAGGAAUCUGCCUGGUAGUGGGGGAUAACGUCCGUAAACGGGCGCUAAUACCGCAUCCGUCCUGAGGGAGAAAGUGGGGGAUCUUCGGACCUCACGCUAUCAGAUGAGCCUAGGUCGGAUUAGCUAGUUGGUGGGGUAAAGGCCUACCAAGGCGACGAUCCGUAACUGGUCUGAGAGGAUGAUCGGUCACACUGGAACUGAGACACGGUCCAGACUCCUACGGGAGGCAGCAGUGGGGAAUAUUGGACAAUGGGCGAAAGCCUGAUCCAGCAAUGCCGCGUGUGUGAAGAAGGUCUUCGGAUUGUAAAGCACUUUAAGUUGGGAGGAAGAGCAGUAAGUUAAUACCUUGCUGGUUUGACGGUACCAACAGAAUAAGCACCGGCUAACUUCGUG
rnacentral:rRNA from 1 species